rnacentral:ncRNA from 1 species
GCCAGCAGCCGCGGUAAUACGGAGGGUGCAAGCGUUAAUCGGAAUUACUGGGCGUAAAGCGCGCGUAGGCGGUUUGUUAAGCGAGAUGUGAAAGCCCAGGGCUCAACCUUGGAAUUGCAUUUCGAACUGGCAAGCUAGAGUACAGUAGAGGGUGGUGGAAUUUCCAGUGUAGCGGUGAAAUGCGUAGAGAUUGGAAGGAACAUCAGUGGCGAAGGCGACCACCUGGACUGAUACUGACGCUGAGG